UCCGCUUGUUCGGAAAAUUAAAAAAAAAAGUUUAAAAAAAAAAGUUAAAACCGACCUACCCUACCUAAGUUUUUAUAAGAAGAAACCGGAAACCCACAUAUUUUUUUUUUGGCCUUAUUUGAAUAUGGACAUGUAAACAACGCUGAUGUUUAUGUAAGGACUGGACCGCACCUUCAACUUCACAGCGUCUUGAUUAUUAGGUUAUUACAUAGUCAUAAUUCAUAGAAAUGUUUUAACACGAUCAUGUGCAGUGCGGAUGUAGAAUUUUAAUUUAUCAAUGUUUUGUUGGGAACAGGCGUUAAUUAUUAAUAUAACAAACAGCGGGUUAAAUUUUAACCAGGUAUUGCGCUAAGUUACUGUUUAGCAAAUGAUCCUGGUUUGCCAAAAAGCACUCAUACUACAAAUUGUGAAAUAUUAUUUAUAGUUUAUACAUCUAGACGCGGGUUUGUGCUCUACGCAACUUUCAGCGCUCAGCAUGUGUUAGUGCAUAUUCAACUUUUUUUUACGAACGCAGUUUAAAGCAUAGUUAUAUAUUUAAAUACAUGCAUGUUCCAAUUACGUUCCAAUUCAGUUGGCUUGAUAUGUCUCUCCUUAAGCAUUCG
rnacentral:lncRNA from 1 species